UACUAUUGAUUUAUAGUAAUUGUUGAAAUGAAUCCUCCAAUUUUGUUCUUUGUUCUGUUUUGACUGUGCUAGAUCCUUUGCAUUUUCUCAUGAACUUUAGAAUCAGCUUAUCAAUAAAAUAAAGACUGCUCGCUUGUUGGAAAUUAAGUUGGGAUUGGGUCAUAUUUAUAGAUUAAUUUGGGGAGAAUUGACAUCUUAACAAUAGUAAAGGAUAGUUUAAUUAAUGUAGAUGUAUUUGACUU
rnacentral:lncRNA from 1 species